CUGCCUCUCCUUUCUCUGGGGAGAUACGGGAACAAGCCAAUGAGAAGAGGAAGACCAUGCUGUGAAAUUGCUUAUGUCAUCCUGUGGGUGGAACAUCUCCUGUUGCCUCCUGUUAUAUAUCUGACCUAAAUGUCCCAAACAGUUGUGCUUAGUGUGCAUUGUAAUCGAUCCUACAUCUUCUCUUCUCCACCAUGCAGCUGAUAUUUGCCUUUCUGCUCCUUACCAUAGCACCUUGUAGCGUCUUCUCUGAUUAUGAAGAAUGUGAGUCAUUUAUGAAAUUUUUCAAUGCAAAAUUUUAUGGACCGGUCUCAGCCUAUGUAACGGAAGUUAAAAAAUAUACUAAUAGUGAAAGUGCAAUAGAAGCUGCACUAGAUGUGAGGCACCUUGUUGACACAUUUCCAGAAGACAAAAAAAAUAAAUAUGCAGAUUUUGUGAAAAGUUUAAUGAAGGAAUGUAUAAUAUCCAAGAAGAAUUAGAUGAAGUCAAGGUUCUUACCAAUGUAAUCCCUUUAAGGAUUUUUUGCAAGCAAAAAUGCAUGGAUCAGAUUUGGACUAUUUGGAACAAAUUGAAAAAUACACUGAUAGCAAAAUUGCAAAAGAUGUUGCAAUUAAUGUAAAGCAUCUUAUUGACACUUUUCCAGAGAAUAAGACAUCUAAAUAUCAAGCCUUGCUGGUAAUUAUAAUACUUGCCAUUUCUGGAUGUACUUAUGUACUUAUAUCCACCCCAAUAUAUAAUUAUAUUAUUUUGCUUUUAAAGUACUGUUUGGAUAUGUAGUUUAAAGGUCAUAAAAUAAAACCUGAUGAUCUGAAAGGUAUAUAAACA
rnacentral:lncRNA from 1 species